AUGUCUAUGUGCUGGGAGCGGGGCGGUGGUGGCGUGCUGGAGGCAGCCAUAGCAAAGCAGUACGACUCAGUGGAGUGUCCCUUUUGUGACAAGGUGACCAAAUAUGAGAAGCUCGCCAAGAUCGGCCAAGGCACCUUUGGGGAGGUGUUUAAGGCCAAGCACCGCAAGACCUGCCAGAAGGUGGCUCUGAAGAAGGUGCUGAUGGAAAAUGAGGAGUGGUUCCCCAUUACAGCCUUGCGGGAGAUCAAGAUCCUCCAACUCCUAAAACAUGAGAACGUGGUCAACUUGAUUGAGAUUUGCCCAACCAAAGCUUCCCCCUAUAACCGCUGUAAGGGCAGUAUAUACCUGGUGUUUGAUUUCUGCGAGCAUGACCUUGCUGGACUCUUGAGCAAUGUUUUGGUCAAGUUCACGCUGAAUCAAGAGGGUGAUGCAGAUGUUGCUUAAUGGCCUGUACUACAUCCACAGGAAUAAGAUCCUGCACAGGGACACGAAGGCUGCUGAUGUGCUCAUCACCCGUGAUGGGGUCCUGAAGCUGGCAGAUUUUGGGCUGGCCCGGGCCUUCAGCCUGGCUAAGAACAGCCAGCCCAACCGAUAUACCAAGCGUGUGGUGACACUUUGGUACCGGCCCCCAGAGCUGUUGCUCGGGGAGCGGGGCUACGGCCCCCCAUUGACCUGUGGGGUGCUGGGUGCAUCAUGGCGGAAAUGUGGACCCACAGCCCUAUCAUGCAGGGCAACACGGAACAGCACCACCUCGCCCUCAUCAGCCAGCUCUGUGGCUCAAUCACACCUGAGGUGUGGCCAAACAUGGACAAGUAUGAGCUAUAUGAGAAGCUGGAACUGGUCAAAGGCCAGAAGCGGAAGGUGAAGGACAGGCUGAAGGCCUACGUACGUGACCCCUAUGGCCACUACCAACCAGAGUUUGAGCGUGUCUUCUGA